rnacentral:rRNA from 1 species
UACGUAGGUGACAAGCGUUGUCCGGAUUUACUGGGCGUAAAGAGCGCGCAGGCGGUCGAUCAAGUCGAGUGUGAAAGCCCCCGGCUCAACUGGGGAGGGUCAUUCGAAACUGGUCGACUCGAAGGCAGGAGAGGGUAGUGGAAUUCCCGGUGUAGUGGUGAAACGCGUAGAUAUCGGGAGGAACACCAGUGGCGAAGGCGACUACCUGGCCUGUUCUUGACGCUGAGGCGCGAAAGCUAGGGGAGCAAACGGG